rnacentral:rRNA from 1 species
UGGUGGAGUGAUUUGUCUGGUUUAUUCCGUUAACGAACGAGACCUCGACCUGCUAAAUAGUACUGGACGGGCCUUCUGACCCGUGCCAGAGACUUCUUAGAGGGACUAUCGGUGUUUAGCCGGUGGAAGUUCGAGGCAAUAACA